rnacentral:rRNA from 11 species
ACCUGGUUGAUCCUGCCAGUAGUCAUAUGCUUGUCUCAAAGAUUAAGCCAUGCAUGUCUAAGUAUAAAUGACUUUAUACAGUGAAACUGCGAAUGGCUCAUUAAAUCAGUUAUAGUUUAUUUGAUAGUACUUACUACUUGGAUAACCGUGGUAAUUCUAGAGCUAAUACAUGCUGUCAAACCCGACUUUUUGGAAGGGUUGUAUUUAUUAGAUAUUAAGCCAAUAUUCCUUGUGUCUAUUGUGGUGAAUCAUAGUAACUGAUCGAAUCCCUUUUUGUGGAUAAAUCAUUCAAGUUUCUGCCCUAUCAGCUUUCGAUGGUAGGAUAGAGGCCUACCAUGGCGUUAACGGGUAACGGAGAAUUAGGGUUCGAUUCCGGAGAGGGAGCCUGAGAAACGGCUACCACAUCUAAGGAAGGCAGCAGGCGCGUAAAUUACCCAAUCCUGAUUCAGGGAGGUAGUGACAAGAAAUAACAACC